UACGUAGGGUGCAAGCGUUACUCGGAGUUACUGGGCGUAAAGCGUGCGCAGGCGGUGAUGUAAGACAGGUGUGAAAUCCCCGGGCUUAACCUGGGAACUGCAUUUGUGACUGCAUCGCUGGAGUGCGGCAGAGGGGGAUGGAAUUCCGCGUGUAGCAGUGAAAUGCGUAGAUAUGCGGAGGAACACCGAUGGCGAAGGCAAUCCCCUGGGCCUGUACUGACGCUCAUGCACGAAAGCGUGGGGAGCAAACAGG
rnacentral:rRNA from 1 species